CAUCCCCGCCGGCCCUGACCUUCUCUCCCGUGGCCAGUGGGGAGCCGAAAAUACAUCAACCGAACCCAGCCCUCCCUCUCUCCCUCCCGCAGGCCCUCGCCGCCACAACCUACACCGGGCGGUCCCAGCCGAUUCCAGCGGCUGUCGGCGACGCGCAGCACUCUCCCAUGGCCGCCUCCCUCGGCUCCGUCCUCCCGACCAACCAGAUCCGUCGCGCACAUCCUCCAACAGCCACCCACAUCGCUCCCCCGUGUCUAGGGUUUCGUCCUCCGCGUCUCCUCCAGCACCGGCGACCCUCCCCAUGGCUCCGUUGCCAUCAAGGCGCCUCCGACGCCAUCAAGGGUGAGGAGGACGAGGCCCAGCCAUCCGAUGGCCCAGACGCAUCGAUGCGUUUCUCGUCCUCCUCCAUGCCGCCGGCGGCACCCAUCCUCCUCCCUCGUCCUGUCCAGGCGGCUGGGACCAUCCUCGAGGUAGGCCAUGGAGGUCCUCUUUACUCGGUGCUCAGCAAGAGAGGCGCAACCUCCUCCACAUUGAAGAAAUGGUGAAGAAAUAGGCGCCCAGCGCUGCCUCCCAGUCGGCAGCCUCCCCAUCAAGUACAAUACUGAAUUCCUAUUCUGAUUGGGAGGUCUGUACCAAUUAUACUGAAAUUCCUUAGUUCUAGAAGUUGCAUCAUACUAGCAGGAGCCAUUGUAGUAGAAUUAAUGCAGACAGAGAGAGUCAUAUGAAGUGAGAUGUGAGGUUGAUAUACAACGUGACCCAGAGUGAAUAUUUGUGCUGAUCACAUGCAAGGCCCUGUAGUUGGCCAAGUGAACAACUUUAGUCCUUACUAGGUGAAGAGUAUGAGGAAUGAAACAUUCUCACUAUUUUGAAGGAAAUUAGCUAUACUACUUGCCAUCUGCUGCAUAUGUUAGGUUCUUAGCCUUUUAGUUUAUAUCCUGGUUAUUCCUUUUUGCUCAUUCGUUCUGAUUCCUAUACAGGGGAACUCAAGGUGGCCUGAUACUGUCUUUGGCACUGGCUUAGUAUCUCGCUUAUAUUGUUCUCCAGCAAAUUAGCGAUCCACUAAUUGACAGGUCCAUGAUGGAACACUGUAUUUUGUACAAAUGGCAUAUUUUCUUGAAAUAUUCUGUGAUCGAGCAUCGGUUGACAUGCCUUUAGUAGCAGUAGCACCCAUUGGAUAGUUUUCUAUUUAUAAACUGAGAAGGUUUCUUUUACUUGAGAACUGAAGGAAUUAUUUACCCGAUGCAAAGGGAGUUUUCUAUGUACAUAUUGAUUUAUCUACAUGUAUAUGAGAUACACGUUUAUGGAUCAUACUUGAUCCAUAUGAACUGAGAAGCUUUCUUUUCUUCUUAGACAUAUAUCUAUACAUUGAUAUGUCAUCUCCUUUUUCUUAUUAUUUAACAUAAUGUUUUGCUAGCAGUUAAAAUAAUUCUAAACAAUCUGGAAUCAUAAUAGACAUAUAUUAUUUUGCUGAAGAGUUCAGUCCAUGCAUGUUUUUGCCAUCUAAUUUUAUGUUCUGGGCCAUAUGGAAGUGAUGCUUUUAAGUUCUAUAAUGAUUAUAAAAGCACAUUGCUCUGCUAUUUUGUUAUAUUAGAUGUUAUCCUGCUUUUGCUGAAUCAGAUAGAGGCUUUAAGCAUAUCCAAUUUAAAUAAUGACAGUCUUUUAUACUUGCUGUUGCCUUUGACUGUCUCCUUGUUGUAUGAUUAAUCAUGUUUGCUUAGUUAAAUGGCUUGCUAGGUUCAGCUGGUUCCACUAGCAGUUGUCUCCGAGCACUUGCACUGGUCAGCUGAUAUACGUCACGCCCCCUCUCUGGUUUUACUGGACUGCUGCAAAAAUAUGAUCAGUGUGACUCUACAAUUUUUAUAAUCAAAGGAAGUAGUCACAGAUGUAAACACUGAUAUAGGGUUUGUAGAUGCUUACAUAUAGUAGUAAAUAAGUAGUAAUAUUUUGAUCUAGACAGUGAUGAUUUAAACUCUGUUUUUUAUAUGACCUUCAUAUAGUUAAUAGCUUUGUUGUCACUAUUGCUGCUGCAUGAUUUGUUCAGAGAGGGUUGCCAAUUUUUGCUUUCUUUUUCAUGCAGAUUGGUCCACAAUUACCUGAUUCUCGUCCUUCUGGUCAAACCCCUGGUAGGCGCCUCCUUCGAUGUGUGCGUGCACGUCAUCUAUUAGCAGCCUUGCGCGUCUUCUUCCACGGAUCUUCAGGGUCAGUUGCUCCUAUCUGGACGAGCUUUGUCAGGGUCAUGUGGUUGCUGCUGCUACCUCUUUGUCGGGGUCAAGGGUCAAUAAAACUCAGGUUAUUCCUCGAUCCAUAAUUCUAGCAUCUAUAGUCAGGCUAUCACUUUAGUCUUUUUUGCCUUUCUCUGACAGGUCAAUUGAUGUUGGGCACCAAUCUUGCUCCUAUUUGGGUGGGCUACAGCUUUGUCAGGCUGCCAUCAUAUUCUGAUCUUCCAGUGUUCCUUCUGUGGUGUGGAGGAGGUGUGAAAGUAGAUCGUGUUGACGAUUGCGCCAUUACAUGUUAUUAUUGUUCAUAUCUUAUCAUUAGAAAUAGACAUGUUAUAAGGAAGAUGUUACCGAUAUAUUUCUUUCAUGGUCAAUGAUUGUCUUGCUUUUCUGUGUCACAUUGCUUAUACCUGUCGUUUUCUAAAAUUAUUGCAUGGUAGCUAGCUAAUCUCUAUGAUAAUAGUAUCUGAGAUUCCAAAGGAUUUUUACUUUUUUGGUUUUCUUUUCCUUUUGUUCUACCAUUAUAUCAUUAUAUCUCAAUAGGUCCUACGACGGAGGUUGAAGGGUAGUAUGAUUUGAAUCAUGCUUGGUCAAAUCAAUAUAUAGUGGUUUUGACUUUAUGAACAACCAGAUCAAUUCUCUGGAUGCCUUGUGUUUGUGCAUAUAUAAUUAGCUCUCAUCUUCAGUUUAACUUUGGAACGAGAGUAUUCACUAGAGGAGAUUCAUGGUUGCAGUAUCUAAUUUUAUAAUGAAUGGGCAAUCUGUGGCCAUCUAUAGUAGAAUUUGGAUCAUUGAUUGAUGGAGAAAGACAAGGGUCAAAGUGUUUUUUUCCAAGGUAACCACCACUAUUUUGUUUAGGCUUAUGUGCCUGAUGUUUUUUAGGAUCUCUGUGUCAAGGAGAUAUAUCUAAGUAGUGUCAUGUUCUAAUUCUAAAAGAUGAGAAAGCUAAGAACUUCGUAAUUACAUAGUAAAUCAUGGCUGCAGCCUAGAGGUUAGGGAUGUGCAAAUAUUGAUUAAAAGUAUAUUUAUUUGUAUUUACAACAACACACUGGAUCACAUCCGGUAAAUAUUUUUGUAGAAUAUCAGUCAAGUUUCGAACUUUUGACCAUGACAGCUGAAAAACCGAAGUAAAUCCAUCAUAUAUAUUCAGUUCAGUAAAGUAUAUAAUCAGGAUGCUAAUAUUUGACCUAGAUCCCCAAACCGGAACCCUGGCUCCUCUCUCUGCUCGGCACCGCCUACACCAGCGGCUUCGACAGUCAAUCCUCAGCGCCUGUCGCAACAAAGCUCGGGAAGGAGUGUGAUUGUACUGUGCUAGCAGAGUAAAAUACUGGAACGCUCUGACUGCUCCUGGACUUCCAAGGUGAUGCUGGGAGAUUCGUUCUGCCACUUUGCCUAUACUCCGCCUGAUCACCGUUCAUCCAGAGAAAAGGAGAGGAAGGGGAUGGAUGAGCAAGGACCAGAAGGACCAGAAGAAGAAGGGAAAGGGAGAUGGGGCGAUGUGCAUGUCCAUGGAGGGGAAAAUUCUAAUUUCUUUACAGCGGUGUUUGAAAAAAAUGGCAUAUUCCGUGGGCUGGAUGAUAGAAGGACAUUUUGUUGAAGCACUCAAGAGGAGUAAUACUAUUGUGAUGCCAACACAUGCUGAAUAAACUUUAUGUUUUGUAAUCCUCUAAAUCCUGCACCGUGUUGGUUUGUUUCUAAUCUAAACAUGUCUUUUGGCUUGCUCUAGAUUUAGCCCGAACCUUAAUUCUUUGUUUGGUCUGAAUCUUGCCUGAACCACUUCCUGCAGCUCCUGAAUUUAGCUAUGAAUUAUGUCAUAAUUUUCCUAUGACUUAUGCCUGAAUUCUGUGCUCGUGGGAAUGUUGUUUUUUGGAAAGUUUUGUUGUAUUCUGUGAUGUAAAAAAUAGAUAA